GGGACACGUGGUAUCCUGUCUGAAUAUGGGGGGACCAUCCUCCAAGGCUAAAUACUCCUGACUGACCGAUAGUGAACCAGUACCGUGAGGGAAAGGCGAAAAGAACCCCGGCGAGGGGAGUGAAAAAGAACCUGAAACCGUGUACGUACAAGCAGUGGGAGCCUCUUAAUGGGGUGACUGCGUACCUUUUGUAUAAUGGGUCAGCGACUUAUAUUCUGUAGCAAGGUUAACCGAAUAGGGGAGCCGAAGGGAAACCGAGUCUUAACUGGGCGUUAAGUUGCAGGGUAUAGACCCGAAACCCGGUGAUCUAGCCAUGGGCAGGUUGAAGGUUGGGUAACACUAACUGGAGGACCGAACCGACUAAUGUUGAAAAAUUAGCGGAUGACUUGUGGCUGGGGGUGAAAGGCCAAUCAAACCGGGAGAUAGCUGGUUCUCCCCGAAAGCUAUUUAGGUAGCGCCUCGUGAAUUCAUCUCCGGGGGUAGAGCACUGUUUCGGCAAGGGGGUCAUCCCGACUUACCAACCCGAUGCAAACUGCGAAUACCGGAGAAUGUUAUCACGGGAGACACACGGCGGGUGCUAACGUCCGUCGUGAAGAGGGAAACAACCCAGACCGCCAGCUAAGGUCCCAAAGUCAUGGUUAAGUGGGAAACGAUGUGGGAAGGCCCAGACAGCCAGGAUGUUGGCUUAGAAGCAGCCAUCAUUUAAAGAAAGCGUAAUAGCUCACUGGUCGAGUCGGCCUGCGCGGAAGAUGUAACGGGGCUAAACCAUGCACCGAAGCUGCGGCAGCGACACUAUGUGUUGUUGGGUAGGGGAGCGUUCUGUAAGCCUGUGAAGGUGGCCUGUGAGGGUUGCUGGAGGUAUCAGAAGUGCGAAUGCUGACAUAAGUAACGAUAAAGCGGGUGAAAAGCCCGCUCGCCGGAAGACCAAGGGUUCCUGUCCAACGUUAAUCGGGGCAGGGUGAGUCGACCCCUAAGGCGAGGCCGAAAGGCGUAGUCGAUGGGAAACAGGUUAAUAUUCCUGUACUUGGUGUUACUGCGAAGGGGGGACGGAGAAGGCUAUGUUGGCCGGGCGACGGUUGUCCCGGUUUAAGCGUGUAGGCUGGUUUUCCAGGCAAAUCCGGAAAACCAAGGCUGAGGCGUGAUGACGAGGCACUACGGUGCUGAAGCGACAAAUGCCCUGCUUCCAGGAAAAGCCUCUAAGCAUCAGGUAACAUCAAAUCGUACCCCAAACCGACACAGGUGGUCAGGUAGAGAAUACCAAGGCGCUUGAGAGAACUCGGGUGAAGGAACUAGGCAAAAUGGUGCCGUAACUUCGGGAGAAGGCACGCUGAUAUGUAGGUGAAGCGACUUGCUCGUGGAGCUGAAAUCAGUCGAAGAUACCAGCUGGCUGCAACUGUUUAUUAAAAACACAGCACUGUGCAAACACGAAAGUGGACGUAUACGGUGUGACGCCUGCCCGGUGCCGGAAGGUUAAUUGAUGGGGUUAGCGGCAACGCGAAGCUCUUGAUCGA
rnacentral:rRNA from 1 species